rnacentral:miRNA from 1 species
UAUCACAGCCAGUAGUUACC